AUAUCUUAGAAACAGUAGCCAAUCAGUUGUUUUAAUUGUCAUAUUUGAAUUUAGCACAUAAUGUGCUAUUUAUUAUGUAUUUUGAUCUCUGAAGCGGACGACUUCUCAAAAAUUAUAGACCAGUGUUAUGUAAGUUGUGACAGACCAUCUUGUCCCCACUAGACGUGGGCAUCCACCACAGGAGGCAGAUUUUUCCAGCUCUCUUCUCUUGCACUUGCCUAUAGCUUAAAGUGUGCAAGGUGUCAAGUUAUAUUUCACUAGCUUAAUAGAAGACCUAUGUAAGGGUUCUGUUCUACACAAGAAUAGCUUCUAGUGAAAUUCAGCUGUACAGUUCUCCAGUAUAUGGCAGCAGCGGACUGGUAAUGUAGUCAUUGAGGAAUCUGGACAGAAAACGUUCUCUCCCCACCAUCCUGUUGUAAUUCCAGAUCACUUGUCUACAGGGAAGUUAAAUGAGAUUCCUGCAGUAAAGAAAGUACAGCACUAGAAAAUCUUUUUGGGUGUCCUUAUUGCAAGCCUGUCUGUCUGCGAUAGAAGAACAUCACAAAAUAUCCAAAAGACCCUGAGAAUUAGCAACUGUGUUUUUGUGAGCAUUAUCAAAUGUGUCUGAUCACUCUUUUACAAGUAGAAGAUGCAUACUGUUGAGUGCACAAAUUAAAAUUUUCAAAUCAUUGUA